CACUGCUUAUAUAGGUUUUACUCCUUAGGAAGAGGUAACACUGCUUACACAUGGUUCAUUCUUCAGGAAGAGGUAACAGUGCUUACAUGGGGUUCAUUCUUAAGGAAUAGGUAACAAUGCUUAAAUGGGGUUUAUUCUUAAAGGUAGCACUGCUUAGGUUUUCAGUUCAUUCGUCAUGAAGAGGUAACAGUGGUAAUAUGGGGUUCAUUUUCAGGAAGAGGUAACAGUGGUAACAUGGAGUUCAUCUUCAGGAAGUGGUAACAGUGCUUACAUGGGGUUUACUCUUUAGUAAGAGGUAACACUGCUUACAUGGGGUUCAUUCUUCAGGAAGAGAUAGCACUGCUUACAUGAUGGGGUUCAUUCGUCAUGAAGAGGUAACACUGCUUAUAUAGGUUUUACUCCUUAGGAAGAGGUAACACUGCUUACACAUGGUUCAUUCUUCAGGAAGAGGUAACAGUGCUUACAUGGGGUUCAUUCUUAAGGAAUAGGUAACAAUGCUUAAAUGGGGUUUAUUCUUAAAGGUAGCACUGCUUAGGUUUUCAGUUCAUUCGUCAUGAAGAGGUAACAGUGGUAAUAUGGGGUUCAUUUUCAGGAAGAGGUAACAGUGGUAACAUGGAGUUCAU